rnacentral:misc_RNA from 1 species
AUAAUUUCAAACUCUCUGCUGAUUUUUGAUCAGUUUGUAGCGUUUGGAUUUGUGGAGGUUGCUGGAUAACAUUAGUAACCAGCUCUUCUGAAAUUCAUUAGCAAAAUUUUUGUUACUGGCUAUAUUCUAUGGUAUGAUAAUUAUCUAUACCACUUGAAUAUCCAGGCUUUCUUUAUUGAAAGAGUUUUGCUUUCAAAUCGUCUUAAAUACAAGACAAAUUGCUGAACA